AGAGUUUGAUCAUGGCUCAGAUUGAACGCUGGCGGCAUGCUUUACACAUGCAAGUCGAGCGGCAGCGCGGGGGCAACCCUGGCGGCGAGCGGCGAACGGGUGAGGAAUACAUCGGAACGUGCCCGAGAGUGGGGGAUAACGCCGCGAAAGCGGCGCUAAUACCGCAUAUUCUCCGAGGAGGAAAGUGGGGGACCGCAAGGCCUCACGCUCACGGAGCGGCCGAUGUCGGAUUAGCUAGUUGGUGAGGUAAAGGCUCACCAAGGCGACGAUCCGUAGCUGGUCUGAGAGGAUGAUCAGCCACACUGGGACUGAGACACGGCCCAGACUCCUACGGGAGGCAGCAGUGGGGAAUUUUGGACAAUGGGGGCAACCCUGAUCCAGCCAUGCCGCGUGCGGGAAGAAGGCCUUCGGGUUGUAAACCGCUUUUAGUCGGGAAGAAAAGAUACGGGUUAAUACUCCGUGUUCUUGACGGUACCGGCGGAAUAAGCACCGGCUAACUACGUGCCAGCAGCCGCGGUAAUACGUAGGGUGCGAGCGUUAAUCGGAAUUACUGGGCGUAAAGCGUGCGCAGGCGGUUCGUUAAGUUCGAUGUGAAAGCCCCGGGCUCAACCUGGGAACUGCAUUGGAAACUGGCGAGCUUGAGUAUGGCAGAGGGGGGUGGAAUUCCGCGUAGCAGUGAAAUGCGUAGAGAUGCGGAGGAACACCGAUGGCGAAGGCAGCCCCCUGGGCCAAUACUGACGCUCAGGCACGAAAGCGUGGGGAGCAAACAGGAUUAGAUACCCUAGUAGUCC
rnacentral:rRNA from 1 species